GGAAUAUUGCGCAAUGGGCGAAAGCCUGACGCAGCGACGCCGCGUGAGGGAUGAAGGCCUUCGGGUUGUAAACCUCUUUCAGCAGGGAAGAAGCGAAAGUGACGGUACCUGCAGAAGAAGCACCGGCUAACUACGUGCCAGCAGCCGCGGUAAUACGUAGGGUGCAAGCGUUGUCCGGAAUUAUUGGGCGUAAAGAGCUCGUAGGCGGUUUGUCGCGUCUGCUGUGAAAACUCGGGGCUCAACUCCGAGCUUGCAGUGGGUACGGGCAGACUAGAGUGCGGUAGGGGAGACUGGAAUUCCUGGUGUAGCGGUGGAAUGCGCAGAUAUCAGGAGGAACACCGGUGGCGAAGGCGGGUCUCUGGGCCGUAACUGACGCUGAGGAGCGAAAGCAUGGGGAGCGAACAG
rnacentral:rRNA from 1 species